AAACUGGGCAAGUGAACCCAUUUUGUUUGUGUGCCCUCUUUACUGAGUAGAGCCAUGAUAGCAAAAAACUCAGGGCACUGAUGUCUCAGUGUAACCACCCGUCUGGGGAAGACAGAGCUUGACCUCAGCUUGAGAGUACUUGAAAGAGUGACCAUAACACCACAGGAAAGGGCAGAUAUUAACAGGCUCUCUCAUCACUGGAACUCCGGGUGUUGUACAGGACUUGUUCAUUCAGCCUGUGAGAGUGGUUUUGUGUGGUGUGGGAUUCAGUGUUUAAAUCCAUGCCAGAAGUCUGCUCCUCCUGCUUGUUGCUGGAUGAUCCAAACAUGCUUUUAUACCUGCUAAAUCAAGAUUGGGUGUAAUUAAGAG